rnacentral:rRNA from 1 species
UACAGAGGUCUCAAGCGUUGUUCGGAUUCAUUGGGCGUAAAGAGCGCGUAGGCGGCCAGAUAAGUCCGGUGUGAAAGUCAAAGGCUCAACCUUUGAAUGCCGCUGGAAACUGUCUGGCUAGAGUCCGGGAGGGGCGAGUGGAAUUCCUGGUGUAGCGGUGAAAUGCGCAGAUAUCAGGAGGAACACCAAUGGCGAAGGCAGCUCGCUGGAACGGUACUGACGCUGAGGCGCGAAAGUGUGGGGAGCAAACAGG